rnacentral:tRNA from 1 species
AGUUAACGUAGCAAAGCUCGGAGUUGCUGAAGACCUAAACCCUUUUUACAGAGGUUCAAAUCCUCUCGUUAACU